GACGUAGGGCGCGAGCGUUGUCCGGAAUCAUUGGGCGUAAAGAGCUCGUAGGCGGCUUAGUAAGUCGGGUGUGAAAACCCCAGGCUCAACCUGGGGACGCCACCCGAUACUGCUAUAGCUAGAGUCCAGUAGGGGAGUGUGGAAUUCCCAGUGUAGCGGUGAAAUGCGCAGAUAUUGGGAGGAACACCAGUGGCGAAGGCGGCUCACUGGACCGGUACUGACGCUGAGGCGCGAAAGCGUGGGGAGCAAACGGG
rnacentral:rRNA from 1 species